GUCCUUGUGGCCUAAUGGAUAAGGCAUCGCUCUCCGAAGGCGGAGAUUGCGGGUUCGAGUCCCGUCAAGGACU
rfam:Saprolegnia diclina VS20 unplaced genomic scaffold supercont1.13, whole genome shotgun sequence.